GUCAGUGAAAUGGUGGAAGAUAUUUACCCCGGAUCAGUGUUCAGGAAUCAAUCGUUUUGUGGCUCUUUUUGCAGUCCCUCUUCUCUCUUUCCACUUCAUAUCGACCAAUGAUCCUUAUGCCAUGAACUUUCGUUUCAUAGCUGCUGAUACUCUCCAAAAGGUCAUAGUUCUUGUAGUUCUAGCUCUCUGGACUAAGUUGAGCAAAAGGGGUUGCUUGGUAUGGACCAUUACACUGUUUUCACUUUCUACUCUUCCAAACACCCUUGUCAUGGGCAUUCCUUUGCUCAAAGGGAUGUAUGGUGAAUUUUCUGGCAGUCUAAUGGUGCAAAUAGUUGUCCUUCAAUGUAUCAUUUGGUACACUUUGAUGCUUUUCAUGUUUGAAUAUAGAGCUGCUAAAAUGCUCAUCUCUGAGCAAUUCCCAGACACUGCUGGUUCCAUUGUUUCAAUCCAUGUCGAUUCUGAUAUCAUGUCUCUUGAUGGUAGGCAACCUCUUGAAACUGAAGCAGAGAUCAAAGAAGAUGGUAAGCUACAUGUAACUGUUAGAAAAUCCAAUGCUUCGAGAUCAGAUAUAUUCUCAAGAAGGUCUCAGGGACUAUCCUCCACAACCCCAAGGCCAUCAAAUCUAACCAAUGCGGAGAUUUACUCUUUACAGUCUUCAAGAAAUCCAACUCCAAGAGGCUCUAGUUUUAACCACACUGAUUUUUACUCCAUGAUGGCUGCUGGGAGGAACUCUAAUUUUGGUGCUUCAGAUGUCUAUGGCUUAUCAGCAUCUAGAGGACCUACACCCAGGUCAUCAAAUUAUGAAGAAGAUGCUGGUGGAUUGGGUAACAAGCCAAGGUUCCAUUACCAUGCAUCUGGUGGUGCAAACCAUUAUCCUGCACCUAAUCCAGGCAUGUUUUCCCCAACUGGGUCUAAGGGCGGUGUUGCUGCUAACAAUGCGGCUGUUACAAAAAAGCCUAAUGGCCAAGCUCAACAAAAAGCUGAAGACGGUGGUGGUAGGGAUCUUCAUAUGUUCGUUUGGAGCUCCAGUGCUUCUCCAGUUUCAGAUGUGUUUGGUAGCCAUGAUUAUGGUGCUCAUGACCAGAAAGAAGUUAGAGUGGCUGUGUCUCCAGGAAAAGUAGAGGUACACAGAGAAAAUCAUCAUCAUCAACAGGAGGAUUAUAUGGAAAGAGAAGAUUUCAGCUUUGGCAACAGAGGACUUGAAAGAGAAAUGAACAAUAAUCAUCAAGGUGAGAAAGUGGUGGGUGAUGGAGGAAAACCCAAAGCCAUGCCUCCAACAAGUGUGAUGACAAGGCUUAUACUGAUCAUGGUUUGGAGGAAACUGAUUAGAAAUCCCAACACCUACUCAAGCUUAAUUGGUCUCAUUUGGUCUCUAGUUUCAUUCAGGUGGCAUGUAGAAAUGCCGGCCAUUAUAGCAAAGUCCAUUUCCAUUCUGUCAGAUGCAGGGCUUGGCAUGGCCAUGUUCAGUCUUGGUCAGCAUAUAUCACUCUUCUUUUCUUUUGUUUUGGCAAUGAAUCUUUAUUAAAGAGAAUCCCUGUUACUUUUUUCAUUAUUAAUGUCGUAACAACGCAAGUAAAGUAAACCAGAACAGUGUGGGGAUGAUAAUGGUGUUGGCCUGUUGUUUUUUUUUUUUUUCAAGAAUCAAGGAUUUGUGUUAUGGGUAAUAGUGGGAGUGAUGAUGAAAAGGUCUGUCAAAAAAUGAAAAAAAUUUAUGAGAUCUGACAAAUGACAAAUAGUGAUAGGCACGCUUCGUUAGUGUUCUUUUUUAUUUGUUUAUUUAGGGUUAUUUUUGAUGUGAUAAUAGGACUGUUCAUGGCUUUGCAACCGAGGAUCAUAGCAUGUGGAAAUUCCAUAGCAGCUUUUGCUAUGGCUGUGAGAUUCCUUACAGGUCCAGCUGUUAUGGCAGCUGCUUCUAUUGUUGUUGGCCUUAGAGGAACUCUCUUACACAUUGCCAUUGUCCAGGUCACUUGCCUCCAACCAUGCCUUCUCUCUCUCUCACUUCUGCUUCCUUCUGACACAACCAAUCCUACUUAACUACGAAAAUCCAAUACUUUUUUUUUUAUUUGUUUAAAUAAGUAAAUUGAUCCUGCUAUCUCUAGAUAAGAUUUUGUCAGUUUAAAUUUUUAUUUUUUACCUUUGGAUAUUAGUGCAAAAAACAUUGAAUCUUUCUCAUGGUUGCUAGAUGAACAAAACAAAGAAAAACCCAUUUUUUAUUCAUUAAAAACUAAAUAUUUUUAGUUUGCUGUCAAAGUUUAAAUAUUUUUAACAAUAUUGAAAUUAUUUUCAGAAUUAAAAGAUUUUGAAUAGUGAAAUAAAAAGGUUUAAAUAUAUUUUUUCAAUAAUCAAGAUUUAAAUAUGAGAUCUUAACAUUCUAAAAAUGAGUUUAAUAUUUUAAAAUUUAUUAGUUAAAUUAAUAUUUUUUUUCUAUUUAUUAGAUAUUAAUUCAAUUAGAUUUUGAAAACCUAAAAAGGAAAAAUAAAAGAAAAAAGUAAAAAGAGGGGCAAUAAUUAAUCAGAGCUAUAAUUAAGCAAGGACUUGUUUGGGGUUAUUGAUGAACAAUAAACAUUUGUACCAAAACUAACAUGUCUUUUUGGCUUUGUUGUGUUUGGAUUGGAAAACAAAACAAACAGGCAGCUCUACCCCAAGGAAUUGUCCCCUUUGUCUUUGCCAAAGAAUACAACGUACACCCUGAUAUUCUCAGCACAGGUGUCAUAUUUGGGAUGUUAAUUGCAUUGCCCAUAACUCUUGUGUACUACAUUUUAUUGGGGUUGUGAAGAGCCAAAAAUUCAUCAAGAAACAGUGGUUUGCACCAAAUGGAAUGCCCAAUGGAGCUACAAGUUCAUAUCAAGAAAUUGUUUCAAAGGAUAUAUAGUGAGAGAGAAAUGAGUCUUUUCUUGCAAAAUGUCUUCUUUUCCUAGUGAAAGUUGUAAAAUCAAUGUUUCUAGUCAAAUUAUUGAAGAAAAAAUUUAGUUAGUUUCUUUUCCUUAAUUUUUUUUUUUUAAAAACCCAAGUAAUGUGUAUUUAAAAUUUUAUUGAAUAUUGCCUAAGGACUUGUAGUCUUUUU
rnacentral:misc_RNA from 1 species